rnacentral:lncRNA from 1 species
GGAAGAAGCAGGCUCCCAGCGGAGGAGCCUGAUGUGGGGCUCGAUCCCAUAACGCCGGGAUGACGCCCUGAGCCGAAGGCAGACACCCAACCGCUGUGCCACCCAGGCACCCCGAGAGAUGGCUGUUUUAUCCUGCAUACUUAUGAGCAGCUUAAAACCAUAUGAAAGAGAAUGUAUUCAUCUAUUACUUGUAUAAUCAUUUAUAAAAUGAUUUUGAGGAUUUCAAUGAGUCAAAAAAAAAAAAUGUGGACACCCCAUGACCCAGCAGUUUCAAUUCUAGGACUCCAUCUUAACGAAGAAUUCACUGAAGCACAGUUUGUAAGAGAGAAAAUUUAGAAACAACCUACAUGCCCAUCAAUAGGCAAAUGAGUAAGCCCAUGCUGGUGUGAAAAUUGAGAAAAGGAAACCUCAUUUAGAAUGGAGCCAGGAGGCCGGCAGGGGGAGCUCUCACGCCCAGCCCUGGCUGUCUACCGCAGACCCAAGGGGAAGAGAGGAACCUAGCAAGGGGAUACUCCUGCACUAUUCCAGCAAGAGGAGGGAACAUUUCUUCUUGCCCCAGCAACAGCCCAGCCAAUGACGGACAGUCACAGCCCAGCCACUGAGAAACCGCUAUACUUCAAGCUCCCAGUUUACUCCAAUGGACUUUUAGUUUAUAACCCCCGACUCCCCCCCUUUCCUCUAUAAAAGAGUGGUCCUCUGCUCGGUCAGGGAGUUGCUCCUGGUUUUGCUGGAGCCUGCUUGUCCCAGGUUGUAAUUCUCGGCGAUUCCCGAAUAAACCCAUCUGUUGCUUGUAAAAUAACCGGCUGCUCCAGAUGAUGCCGCAUGGAGGAGAAAAGAGCUCUCCGCGGAGGGAGCGCCUUGCCCAAAUUGCAAAAUUGUCACUCACUCUGGGGAAGCCAGAUGCCAUGGCAGGGAGACAGGCAAGCAGCCCUCUGGAUAGGACGACGUGGUGUGCAACGGAGGCCCCGCAGCCCCCAGCCAUGUGAGUGAGCCCCCAAGGAGGGGGACCCCGCAAACCUCCGGCCCCUACCAAGCCUUCAGACGAUGGAGGCUCUGGCCAACAUCUUGACUGCAAACCUCAGGAGAGACAGUGAGUCAGAACUUCCUAGCUCUGUUGCUCCUGAAUUUCCUGAGCUAUGGAACAGGGAGGUAGUAAAUUCUUUUUCAAUUUAUUUAUUUUUUAUUUUUUUAGAUUUUUAUUUAUUUAU